CUCCACUCAGGCUUUCACUGGAUUGACCCAGUCCCUCCCUCUGCCUCCCUGAUAUCAACGCAAAGAGCAGAGCCUGAUAUCAGCCCUUCAUUUAUAUUUUUCACCAUCAGUGUCCUGGAAUUUGUAUCGGAUUCAUCACUGUAGACUUACACAGCAUGAGACCCACUAAGAAACAGUCGCUGAGGUGUCCAUGAGGUUGUAGGAUGGAGGUCUCUGUUUCCUUACUGGCUUUCAUCCGGGUCUCACACAGCUUUUAGAGGACACCCUUAUUUUUUGGCUCUCACUCUGCCUCCUCCAUCUUCAAAGCCAACAAUGGCUAAGCUCUUCUCAUGUGUCACAUCUCUCUGAUCUCUCUCCUUCCUUACCUCUCCUCUGCUUUCCUCUUCUACUGCAUCUUUGACUCC
rnacentral:lncRNA from 1 species